rnacentral:precursor_RNA from 14 species
AAUUCUGCUGCCAGAUUGGGCUUGGUGGUCUGACAGUCACUGAUGCCUCCACCCUGUGUUAUGUCAGUGAGUGAGACAAGUGACUGUUUGAUUACUAUGCCUGCUGCUCGCCACUCAGAAG